UCCCCUCCUCCUUCACUGCACACCCGGCUCCCUGGCCUCAGAAAGGAAAGGGCAGGGAGCUUUAGGCAAGGGCUCCAGAAAGACCUCUUAGUGGUGUUUUGUUAUUGUUUGUGGUUGUUUUGUUUUGUUUACCGCUUGUGGUUCUUUUCCGGGCCAUUUUCCUUAUUAGAACUGUACCCUCUGGAGAAGUGAAAGAUGCGCCCUUUCUUCUCUGGUCCCUUCCUUCCGCAGCCCAGCUGCAGUUUUCAAAAUAGAAAACCGGCUUUGAGCAAGGGCUUGCUCAAGGUCACCCAGAAAAACAGAUUCGUUUCCAAGAUUUCUUCCUCCAAAUCUACCCCUCUUCCCAGCUUACCAACUGAGAUAUACCUUCCUAAGCCUUCCCAGUAUCUAAUAAAUCUUGAGUAGGAAGCUUUUUUUCCAAGUUGAGCUUAGCUCCUACAUUGCUAUUUAGACCUAGUUUCUUCCUUAAUGAGGAAAGAUGCCAAGUCCCUAACUGCACCACCAGGCUCAAGAUAUCCAGGCCUCUCUGUUGGGUCCAUGAUUUCGAAGGAGGCCGGGGGCUGAGCUGUGGUCCACUGCAUGGUGACAGGAUCCAUACUGGUGACAAUGGGCUCUACAGACAGAAAGG